rnacentral:lncRNA from 1 species
AACGGCAAAGCCCUCGCCUCAUUUUCUUCUGUCUAAUUUCCUCCGCAGCUUUGCUAGGGUUUUGGAAGAAAAGAGAGGCAGAAGAAUUCCAAACUCAUCACCAUGAGGGCCAAGGUAACUCCUCUAUCUCCGUUUCAUAAAUUUAUCAUUUUUUGUAUUGAUUUUAGCUCAUUUAUUGAAUUUACCAUUUUCCAUAAAUGGAUAACGAAAUUGAUCGUUUGAAAUUGGAUAUGUUUUUGUAGUGGAAGAAGAAAAGAAUGAGGAGGUUGAAGAGGAAGCGUCGAAAGAUGAGACAGAGAUCUAAGUAAUUUAUUUCUGUUAGUCAUCAAUACCCCUCCUACAGGCUCUCAGUACUGUUCUAGCUUUUAGGCUCUGUUUCAGUUUUUUGUAUUUGUUUGCUUAUCCUAAGUACUUUUUAUUCGAUUCCGG